AACGUCUACUUGGGAGAGUGUGAGCCGGAAACGGUUCACCGCCGAAGGAGCAACCACCCCGGAAUCUCUCAGGCACAGGGACCAGGUAGACGCC
rnacentral:ncRNA from 1 species